GCUGAUCCAGUGAUUCUUCAUCCAUACCAAUAUAACAGAGAGAAUGAGAAUAUAACUGUAAAUCCACUUUGUUUUCAGGAACUGUAUAUUGCAUCAGAAUCUGUGUUUAUUUCUUUGUAGAAACGAGGAAGUCUGGUCUGGGGAGGAGUUAUUUUGUACCCUGGUUUGAAUUAUGAAGACAUUAUAUACAUGAAAUGGCCUAAACUAAUAACUGUUGCAAAAUGCCCUGGAUAUGAUAAUUUCUUCAGCUGUAACUGAAAGCUGAAGCAGUGAAAAGAAACCAGUUUAACUGGUUUCUUCCUGCCUCUGGUCCAUCACUUCUACGUCCACUGAGACCUAUCUACUAAGUACCUUCUGGUAAUGAACUACAUUUUCUUCACCUUUUUAAAUACAUGAACAAUUCCAUCAAAACCUAAAGUAUUAGCAUAGAAUAUAAGAGCCAAAGUACUGAGUUGAGAUGGCUUCCGAUUGAACUGAAUUCAUAUUUAAAUUUUGCAUUUGACUUGUAUAAUACACUACGGCUGAGAAAAACAAUUAGGAAUGCCUCCUGCAUGUUACAUGUUAUCUCUUAACAGAGAUGGUGCAAUUUAAAAAAUUCAAAGGGGCAUAGAAUCAGAAUGGGUGUGUUUGUACAUAUAUGUAUUGUGUAUAAACCUAAAUAUUCAUGCUUAAAUAUUUUUCAAGCUCUUCAAAUGUUUCACUCUCAACAAAAUAAAGGGCCAAUUCUGAGAAGAAACAUUUUGUGUAGUUAGCUUCACAGGGAAUGCUCGCAUUUGUUAUUUUGUUUUUGUCAUAUAUUUUGAAGCAUGUACAUAAUUGGUUUUUGCUUCUGGUAAUGAAUUAUUAGAAAAUGUAAGAUUUUGUUGUGAGCUGAAUGCUUUUGGCCCUCAGGUUUACCAUGUAAAUCUGGAUUUUGGUGUGAAAUCCCUCUGCCUGAGAUUUAGUACUUUUGAGUGAACUUUAUUGUUUUUAAAAUAACUUUUAUGUAACAUACAGAUUCAAUUUUUAUAAUAAAUAGCAAAUAAAAACAGAUUCAGUGUUGGAAGAA
rnacentral:lncRNA from 1 species